ACAGCUCAGUAACACGUGGCUAACCUGCCCUUGGGACGGGAACAACCCCGGGAAACUGGGGCUAACUCUCGAUAGGCGAAGAACUCUGGAAUGAGUCUUCACCCAAACAGUUUAAGGUUAUGCUCUUUAAACUGCCCAAGGAUGGGGCCGCGACCGAUCAGGUUGUUGGUGAGGUAAUGGCUCACCAAGCCUUUUACCGGUGCGGGCCGUGGGAGCGGGAGCCCGGAGAUGGGCACUGAGACAAGGGCCCAGGCCCUACGGGGCGCAGCAGUCGCGAAAACUUUGCAAUAAGCGAAAGCUUGACAGGGCUAUCCCGAGUGCCAUCCGCUGAGGAAGGCUUUUACCCAGUCUAGAACGCUGGGGGAAUAAGGAGAGGGCAGGUCUGGUGUCAGCCGCCGCGGUAAUACCAGCUCUUCGAGUGGUGUGGAUGUUUCUUGGGCCUAAAGCAUCCGUAGCUGGCUAGGUUAGUCCCCUGUUAAAUCCACCGAAUUAAUCGUUGGAUUGCGGGGGAUACUGCUUGGCUAGGGGACGAGAGAGGCAGACGGUAUUUCCGGGGUAGGGGUGAAAUCCUAUAAUCCCGGGAAGACCACCAGUGGCGAAGGCUGUCUGCUAGAACGCGCCCGACGGUGAGGGAUGGAAGCUGGGGGAGCGAACCGGAUUAGAUACCCGGGUAGUCCCAGCUGUAAACGAUGCAGACUAGGUGUUUGAACGGCCACGUGCCGUUCUAGUGCCGCAG
rnacentral:rRNA from 1 species